ACGUGAAUUUUACACUUGUUUGUUGAUAUUAUUCUUUAUGCACAGAGAGCUACGACGAGCUGGCCAAAGUAUCCCGAUAUUGAGCAUGGUGGGGCAAGGAGCUAUACAGGAGUAUGAAUGAGGAACUCUACAAGCUGGAACACCAGUUGACUAUGAAGGGUCAAUACUUUACAGGGGAAAAAAUGCAGUGGAAUGAGAAGGGGAGGACCCUCAUGGCCAUCAAGAGGAGGAAUGGACAACACUGUGGGUCCACACUAUGUCAGACUGAGAGGUUACAAGAAACACCUGAAAGACAAUUUUGAGGAGGAACGUGUCAAACCCCAGGGCCAUGCUGGAUGCUGCUUGCUGAGACAUCUGGGUCUGAAUCAACAUGCUGACCUUAUUCAUUCUGCCGUCUUCAAGACAGUACAAA